AUGGAUUAAGGACUGCUCUUCUUACAACAUUAGAGAGCAAUACCUAGCUAAUUUUGGUAAGGAAUUGCACUUUAAUUAGCUUCUAUAAUUAUCAUUCAAGAAAAAGAAACCUCCUCUGGGAUUAAGAACUGAAGAUGGAUUAAGGACUGCUCUUCUUACAACAUUAGAGAGCAAUACCUAGCUAAUUUUGGUAAGGAAUUGCACUUUAAUUAGCUUCUAUAAUUAUCAUUCAAGAAAAAGAAACUACUAAAUAACCUUGGUGAUUAUUUAGCUCAAAGUUGUCGUGUAUUUUGCAAGCAUAAAACAACAACAAUAACAACCCAGUAUAAUCCCAUUUAGUGGGAUCUGGGGAGGGUAGUAUGUAUGCAGAACUUACCCCUACCCUGGGGUUGAGAGACUGUUUCCAAAUAGACCCCCAGUAUCCUUCCCUCCCAGAACUUCCCACAUUGCUCUUGGGGAGACUCGAACUCACAACCUCUUGGUUGGAAGUUGGGGUUGCUUACCAUCAGAGCAACCCCUCUUGUCUUAAAACAAUAAAAUCAAAUUGAGGGCCAACCAUAACAGAUCUUAAUAACCAAAAGACCAAAGGAAAAUUGCAAGAGACAAUAGUUAUUUGUUAAGGAGAGGAGGGUAGAGAUCUUUUAUUGAUAAUAUCGAUUCGGUCUGCCUCUCCGUGGAGAGGUUCAGAGCCUUACAAUCAUAUUCUCUCUUUUCUAGGGAAGAGUCGUGAAGAAGAAGAAGCAGCACUCUUUAGGAUUCUUUCUCUUAGUAUUUAUAACUGUGCACCUUGCCAGCUGGCGUUGGACGGCCGUGGUCAUUUCGGGGGGACGCCCGCCAAUAGUGAAUAGGCCGUGGCCUCAUUGAUUAAGCUGAGUGAUCUUCGAGUGCUUGUUAUUAACGAAUAGUUAUGCCAUUUGUUAGCCCAAAUAUGCUUAGGUGCCAAUUAAUCUUAUUAAUUAUCUCGAGUCAAAGUUUGACCCAUAGAGUCAUGUUAGGUAGAGUACGUACAUGCUUUGAAUCUUCAAUCAUUCAAUUUCUUUUUCUAAUUAGAGUAUAUAGUUUCCAUCUUCAUCAGCCCAGCUUUUGGAUGAUCACUUCUCUUUCUGGUCUUUGUAGUUUAUACUGCCUGGCCUGUUUCUAUCGUUGCUUUUCAUUUUUUUUGGUGCGGGUCAAUCGAAAAAUAGUCUCUUUAACACAUCCUCUUAAUUAAAGAUGCGAAACCAACUGUACGUCAUCAUUGUAUUGCUUCUUAUAUGUUAAACCAAUAAUCAUAAAUUAAGAUUGACAUAGUUGUGAGCAGGGUACCACACAUGUUUCCCGUUUGCCAACUAUGAGUUGCUAUAUUGGGAGGGUGGUAAUUACAGAGUAUGAGAAGUAAAUAAAGUGUUGCAUGCUCUUAUUUGGCCUGGUCUGUUUAGUUGUAUAGUGUACCAAAAUCACCAUAUAUCAAAAUGUAAUAAUAUGUCACUGUUUCUCACGUGUUCCUGUUUAUUUUGUCGUAAAAUUUCUACUUUUGUUCCCUCGUUUUACAUUUCAUGUGGAUGACAAUUUAGCUCAUCCUAGUAAAGGAGAAUCCAUAAAUACUUGCCCAUCCACUUUUCCUUUCUUUAGUAUUGUUCUUUUCUGCUUUUUGUAUAACAUGAAAAACUUGUGCGCUUAAACUAUAAAGAUGUC
rnacentral:lncRNA from 1 species